UGGGGAAUAUUGGACAAUGGGCGAAAGCCUGAUCCAGCAAUGCCGCGUGAGUGAUGAAGGCCUUAGGGUUGUAAAGCUCUUUUACCAGGGAUGAUAAUGACAGUACCUGGAGAAUAAGCUCCGGCUAACUCCGUGCCAGCAGCCGCGGUAAUACGGAGGGAGCUAGCGUUGUUCGGAAUUACUGGGCGUAAAGCGUACGUAGGCGGUGACUCAAGUCAGAGGUGAAAGCCUGGAGCUCAACUCCAGAACUGCCUUUGAAACUAGGUCGCUAGAAUCACGGAGAGGUGAGUGGAAUUCCGAGUGUAGAGGUGAAAUUCGUAGAUAUUCGGAAGAACACCAGUGGCGAAGGCGGCUCACUGGACAUGUAUUGACGCUGAGGUACGAAAGCGUGGGGAGCAAACAGGAUUAGAUACCCACGUAGUCCCUGAGCGGGCUGGCAAGGCGCAU
rnacentral:rRNA from 1 species